rnacentral:rRNA from 1 species
GCUAACUGCUAGGCCGUGCCGUCCCAGAAGAAGGCCUUCUCUUGUAGCUCCACCAAGCGGCCUAACAAGUAGCCUCCUGCCGCUUGAGACGCUAGGCCGGCACCUUUCCAGGGUACGGUUUCCAAUAAAAGGCUCGAUGCCGUGACUAGGCAAGCACCAGCGGUGAGUGAUGCUACCUCCGGUCCCUCGUAAACCAAUGACGCACAUAGGCUACCCUCUGCCAUUGAGCCCUAUAGAAGUUGGCCAAACCUACCGCCAGUACAUUAUCCUAUCCUUUAAUCAAAUGGA